rnacentral:rRNA from 1 species
UACAGAGGGGGCAAGCGUUGUUCGGAAUUACUGGGCGUAAAGGGCGCGUAGGCGGUUCGUUAAGUCCUGUGUGAAAUCCCCCGGCUCAACUGGGGAACUGCACAGGAAACUAGCGGGCUUGAGUUCGGGAGAGGGAAGCGGAAUUCCGGGUGUAGCGGUGAAAUGCGUAGAUAUCCGGAGGAACACCGGUGGCGAAGGCAGCUGACUACAGGAACAUUGACACUGAGGCACGAAAGCGUGGGGAUCAAACAGG